rnacentral:lncRNA from 1 species
GGCCAGUGAUGGUGAGCAUAUUUGCGUGUACUUAUUGGUUAUUUGUAUAUCUUCUAUUACACAAUUAAUUGUAUGUCUUUUUUGUAAAUGUUUGUUUAUUUUUGAGGUGGGAGGGAGGGGAGGGACACAGAGAGAGGGAGACAGAGGAUCCAAAGCAGGCUCCACGCUGAUAGCAGAGCCCAAUGCGAGGCUGGAACUCACAAAAGGCGAGAUCAUGACCUGAGCCAAAGUCAAGACGCUUAACAGAUUGAGCCACCCAGGCGCCCUGAUUGUAUGUUUUUGUUUCUCUUUUUUUUAAUCAGUAUCCCUACCUAUCCCAUUCCACUUGGCUGUCUGUUCUUUCAUCAGAGCCACACGUUUCUCUCUUUAUUUUUCAUGUUUUAAUAUCUGAUAGGACUACUCUCUGAACUCUGCCCUCCCUUCAUUUCCUUUACUUCUUCCGAAUGAUCUUGGAUAUCCUCUCUUAUCAAUUUACUGGGAAGACCUUUCCACGUUGGCACAUUGCCGACAUGCUAACAAAAUAGAGGCACCUUGUUUACAACCAUUGGUUAUCUCUUUCCUGUACUAUUCUGAUGCAGUUCAUACGCAUUCUAAACAUCCAGUGGUGAUUUAUCCUGGAAAUGGUACACAUGUAAUUUGUGAUUUUAAUGAAAUAUUUUUGCAGUACCUUUAGAAAAGCAGUUGACACACAUGAAAGCAUUAACUUGAGUCAUUUGAUGCCAGGGGAUAAUACUUCAUUUGUGGGAAGAGGUUUUAUCUAAAUAUUUCUCCUACCCUGGAGCAUAGGUGAUUGCUUACUAAGCUGGCCUCUUUGCAUACAUUUCAAUUUCCCAGCAUUUAAUUAAUCUUGACAAUUGGGAUUCUCCAUGGAAACAGUGGAGCAAGAUGCUAUACCUUCCAAAACAAAUAUAAAAAUAAUGCUGUUGUUUGUUGCCUGGCAACAGUUCUCUUUGUUUUUAUUCAUAGGAAAAUGUAUUUUUUGCUGAUUGGUACAACUUUGACAGGGAAAGACAAAGGAGAAAAUACCUCUCUCUACAUUCAGAAACUGAUAGGGCAGUUUAAUGUUUUUCUUUGUUAAAGACCCAAGUGCAUAACUCUAAAGAGCAUUAGAAGCAUAGAUAGAAGAGCAUAGAGCAUGUAAAACAUAAAGGCAGAGUGAGUAUGAUCAGAGACGACUCUCAUUAUGGAUCUCCAAUGACAAAAGGUCUUUGAUUAAGGAACGUACUAGACAAAACUGUUGUGAUUCUCAAGCAGUGUGGGUUCAAACUGCAUUUGUAAGGCUCAAGAGUAGGGGCGUUUAGGUGGCUCAGUUGGUUGAGGGUCCGACUGCAGCUCAGGUCAUGAUCUCAUAGUCAGCGAGUUUGAGCCCCGCAUUGGGCUGUCUGCUGUCAGCCUGCUUGGAUCCUUUGUCCCCCACCUCUCUACACCUACUCCGCUUACACUCUCUCUCAAAAAUAAAUAAACAUUAAAAAAAAGUAAGGUUCAAGGUAUGUCUUAAUCUAAAUUUCAUUCCAUCAUGGUUAGUUCCUGUGACAGGUGGUAUUUUUUUGUUCACAAUUCUUUGUUCGUUUUCUACCUUUGCCAUGGUAUACUAUAGAUAAAGUACAGUUCUCUAUGUCACUCACUUUGGACUCGGUCUAUAGAGUGUGUGUGGAUGUAACAUAUGCCAUGUCUCCCCAGAAGCUGUAUGUGAAUUUAUGAAAUUUGGCUUAACCUUGUGCAUUUCUGCCAGGUAGCGGGCUCCUGGAAGGGAAUCAAGUGGAGCAGACCAGAAUCUAAGACCAACGCAAGCCUGGCCAACCCACGUGCAGCACACAGACCAGUGAGAGAAAAAAAGUAUCUGUCAUUGUAAAUCACUGAUGGUUGGGUCUUGUUUGUUAUAGAACAUUUUUGCAGCAAAACCUGACCAAUAGAAUCAUUGAGAAACUAACUGUUCCUAUUCACGCCUACCAUGAGCAAUCAUACAGACUUGACAAUUUGCACUCUAGGUGCCAGUUAGGUGGGCCCCAUCUUUCCAGUCACCAAUCAGAUGGAGCAAAGUCUGUUUAAGAGAACAACUAGCUAUGGGUCACCUGGGUGGCUCAGUUAGUUAAGCGUCCGACUCUUCACCUCUGCUCAGGUCUUGAUCUCAGGGUCAUGAGUUCAAGCCCUGUGUCAUUGGGCUUGUUGCUGGGUGUGAAGCCUACUUAAAGAGAGAGAGAGAGAGAGAGAGAGAGAGAGAGAGAGACCAAUUAGCUUAUCUUGAGGUUGCUAAGGAUGUUCUGGAAGGUGAGAUAUGUAUUUUUUUAAAUCUGUAUUUAUAAACUAGGGACAGAUAUUCUAGGAAUACUAUUAGUGGAGAAAACAGUUUACAGAACAACUUGGAUGUUCUCCUUUAGGAAAAUUUCAAACAAAUUUUGAACUGUGGCAGCUCCAGAAUUUUCAUAUAGAAUUUCUACCUAUGUGAGUGAGCUGAAUACAGUCUGAUUGGAAGGGAGUUGGGGUGAACAAACAGGCUUAACGCUGCAUUUGCAUGGCACUUUAAUAUGAUUGAAGAAACUCCCAAUUGGCCGCAUCAUAGAAUUGGUUGAAGGGAAACUGAUGAAGGAUUAAAGCCCCACUGAUGAAUGCGAAAGCCCCACACUCCCAGGCCUUCCUUGGCCCAUCCAGUGCCUAUGCUAAGCAGAUCUAUAAAUACACAGGGAGAGGGCUGGAAGGAUAUCUACCAAAAUGUAAAUGGAAGUUAUAAAUGAAAGUGGAAUUUG